rnacentral:lncRNA from 1 species
UCAAAGUAAGUUAUCAAUCGAAGUAGCACAGAAAACGAGAAUAAAUAUCGUUCCCAUACCACCAGAUUGACAACAGGUGGAAUACUUUCUUUGGUUACACCUCCUGAGAUUUUCAAAAAUUUAUAAAUCAUACAUGAUGCCGGGGAAAUUAAGAUGAUAACUCAUCUGCUUAGCGUGGUAAAACUCCAACAAGAAAGAUUCCUUAAUACUCAAACAAAAGAGUAAAUGAAUUAAAAAUGUAUAAACAUUCUCAAUUUCUUUGCAAUACGCAAAUGCAGCAGCUGCAUAAUACUAUGGUCAAAUCUGAGAGUUCAGGAAGAGUCUAUACCCGUUUUGGGGGUUGUUUCCCCCUCAUCAGUAGUCCCAUAUCCUCCUCUCUCAGAUUCUUCCACCUACCACACUUUGGGCCUUUUCAAAUUGCAAAGAAAGAAAUGUCACGGAUGAACUAGGGCCGGCCAUCUACCGAAAAACAAAGUAAGCUAUCAAUCGAAGUAGCACAGAAAACGAUAAUAAAUACCCUAACAACACACAACAUUCCAGGAAUGUACUACCAAAGUUCUAUCAAUAUUUGAAUGUCCUGGACAUUUAGGGAACAUUCGGUGAACAUCUGUUUAAAUUAUUCCUGGAAUGUUACCAUAAGACAUUCUGUGAACAUACUACCAAUGUUCCUAUAUUUUAAGUUGCGAAAUAAUACAUACGUGUAAGAGAUACAACAUUACUUAUAACAUACCAGACAAACUAAGUGACAUUUUAGGCCUACAGUGCAAUAAUAUGUCAAAUUUAAAGAGUUUCCCAAGAUUAUAAACAUACAAAUGUAAUAAAAAUUAUUGUUCGCGAAUAUUCAAUUUGGAAUGCGAUUUUGUUAAUAAAAAAAAUACUUAUAACUUAUGCAAAACCCAAGAGAGGCAUUUAUAUUUAUUUCUUUUGCGUUCAUUUUCAAAUUCGCCGUGCAUAUAUUUUUGUGCAUGGCGCUUGAGAGGGCAUCACGUGACUAAAAACGACCAACCAACGACCUCGCUUCGGCCAUCUUGGCAUCUUCAUCUUGGCGACCUUGCCUUGCCGUGGAUUGUUUUUAGUUGUUUGUAUUAUUUGUGCUUUUUAAGAAUAUUUUUUUAAUUCGGAUACUUUUAUAAUAGCUUUAAUAGUAUUAUUAACAUAGUGCAUAAAAUGGUGUCCUGUUUUUAACGCAGUUGGAGUAGCAGAAACAAAUGUAGAUAAAAAAAUCUGCAGGAAUAACGUUUCAAUUAUGACAGAAGCUCAAAACAAAUGACUGUGAAUGGAAUGAAAAGCCCUAUUAAAAGCUUUCCAGAAGAUCCUGCGAAGAAGACAUGAAGUAUAGAUCAGAUUUGUUAAUAGAGGAGUAUGUUCAAAACACUUUUUAGAAAAAGAUAUUGACAGAACUUCACUUUCAUCUGUUCGUUUGAGAGACUGUGCUGUUCCAAUAGCUUAUGUCACACAGAAUCAGCUGAGAGAAGUGGUCUACAAAAAACCAGAAAGGAAACGGAAUAUGUGGCUACGAAAAGCAAAAGAAAGGUUUACAAAGCAAAUGUGACACAUUUUUUUAUAAUAUUUAGGAAUGUCAGCAAAUUACAUUAAAAAAUGUAUGUAAAGAUUUUUUGCAAUAAAAAUGUUUAUAUUUA